UGAUGCGAUCAUACCAGCACUAAAGCACCGGAUCACAUCAGAACUCCGAAGUUAAGCGUGCUUGGGUGAGAGUAGUACUAGGAUGGGUGACCUCCUGGGAAGUCCUCGUGUUGCAUCCC
rnacentral:rRNA from 1 species